rnacentral:rRNA from 1 species
AGUGAACGCUGGCGGUAUGCCUAACACAUGCAAGUCGAACGGCAGCACAGUAAGAGCUUGCUCUUACGGGUGGCGAGUGGCGGACGGGUGAGGAAUACAUCGGAAUCUACUUUUUCGUGGGGGAUAACGUAGGGAAACUUACGCUAAUACCGCAUACGACCUACGGGUGAAAGCAGGGGAUCUUCGGACCUUGCGCGAUUGAAUGAGCCGAUGUCGGAUUAGCUAGUUGGCGGGGUAAAGGCCCACCAAGGCGACGAUCCGUAGCUGGUCUGAGAGGAUGAUCAGCCACACUGGAAGUGAGACACGGUCCAGACUCCUACGGGAGGCAGCAGUGGGGAAUAUUGGACAAUGGGCGAAAGCCUGAUCCAGCAAUACCGCGUGGGUGAAGAAGGCCUUCGGGUUGUAAAGCCCUUUUGUUGGGAAAGAAAAGCAGCAGGUUAAUACCCCGCUGUUCUGACGGUACCCAAAGAAUAAGCACCGGCUAACUUCGUG